CUAUACAUGCAGUCGAACGCUUUGUCUUUAAUUGAUCUGACGAGCUUGCUCUGAUUUGAUUUUAUCUGACAAAGAGUGGCGAACGGGUGAGUAACACGUGGGUAACCUACCUCUUAGCAGGGGAUAACAUUUGGAAACAAGUGCUAAUACCGUAUAAUACCAACAACCGCAUGGUUGUUGGUUGAAAGGUGGUUCUGCUAUCACUAAGAGAUGGACCCGCGGUGCAUUAGCUAGUUGGUAAGGUAACGGCUUACCAAGGCAAUGAUGCAUAGCCGAGUUGAGAGACUGAUCGGCCACAAUGGGACUGAGACACGGCCCAUACUCCUACGGGAGGCAGCAGUAGGGAAUCUUCCACAAUGGGCGCAAGCCUGAUGGAGCAACGCCGCGUGUGUGAUGAAGGGUUUCGGCUCGUAAAACACUGUUAUAAGAGAAGAACGGCACUGAGAGUAACUGUUCAGUGUGUGACGGUAUCUUACCAGAAAGGAACGGCUAUACGUUGGCUCCAAGCAAGCCGCGGUAAUACGUAUGUUCCAAGCGUUAUCCGGAUUUAUUGGGCGUAAAGCGAGCGCAGACGGUUAUUUAAGUCUGAAGUGAAAGCCCUCAGCUCAACUGAGGAAUGGCUUUGGAAACUGGAUGACUUGAGUGCAGUAGAGGAAAGUGGAACUCCAUGUGUAGCGGUGAAAUGCGUAGAUAUAUGGAAGAACACCAGUGGCGAAGGCGGCUUUCUGGACUGUAAC
rnacentral:rRNA from 1 species